AACGAACGCUGGCGGCAGGCCUAACACAUGCAAGCCGAACGCCCCGCAAGGGGAGUGGCAGACGGGUGAGUAACGCGUGGGAACCUUCCCAAAGGUGCGGAAUAGCUCAGGGAAACUUGGGGUAAUACCGCAUAAUGCCGAAAGGCCAAAGAUUUAUCGCCUUUGGAUGGGCCCGCGUCGGAUUAGCUAGUUGGUGAGGUAACGGCUCACCAAGGCGACGAGCCGUAGCUGGUUUGAGAGAAUGACCAGCCACACUGGGACUGAGACACGGCCCAGACUCCUACGGGAGGCAGCAGUGGGGAAUCUUGGACAAUGGGCGCAAGCUUGAUCCAGCCAUGCCGCGUGAGUGACGAAGGCCUUAGGGUUGUAAAGCUCUUUUGCCGGGGACGAUAAUGACGGUACCCGGAGAAUAAGUCCCGGCUAACUUCGUGCCAGCCGCCGCCGUAAAAC
rnacentral:rRNA from 1 species